rnacentral:lncRNA from 1 species
AAAAUACUCUGAAAUGACUACAGACUUCUGCUUUAGACCUUUAUAUGGUAAACUGCCCAUGUUGUUUCAGAUCCUUAAUUAGCCCCAGCUGGCCUGGCUGGGAUGAAGAGUAGUUAGCUAUAAAUUGAAAAGAUUACGAAAUGGGUGUCUGUCACUCUCCCUUUUUCAAUUUUCUUUUUGUUGUUUGGAAGAAGAGCAUGUUGUGCUGAUUCUAAAGAAAGAAAAAUACCAUUUGCAUCGUGUUUUGUCCUUCAGCAAUAGAAAGGAAUUUUCAGCAUACCAGAACAAAUCAAAUUUUAUUCCAUGUAUACAAGAGGAAAGAAAUGACAAGUUAUGGAGUUGGAGACCCUACAGAAAACAAAAUAGAGGUAAGCAGCUCUGUACAGAAACUUGCAAUUUUUCAGUAAGUAAGAAACUGUAAUUUCUGGAGUGGGAAUUGGUAUAGAUUCCAAGAAUGGUCUUAGA